AGCAGCCUGCGGUGUACGUGAUGAAUUUAUGCCCCUUAACCUAAUUUUUGCUUGGGAUUCUUAUAUUCCGGUCUGUAGGAUAUGCUCUUUAUGAGAAAUCUGAAUUGCCGGUGCGGAAACCCACCUGUACAACAGGUUAAAAAGCGCGCUCUAUUCACACGGCACAUGCGGGUUGCUC
rnacentral:other from 1 species